rnacentral:tRNA from 2 species
GGGGAGAUAGCGAAGUGGUCAAACGCGGCAGACUGUAAAUCUGUUCCUUCGGGUUCCAUGGUUCAAAUCCAUGUCUCCCCACCA